GUGGGGAAUCUUGCGCAAUGGGCGAAAGCCUGACGCAGCCAUGCCGCGUGAAUGAUGAAGGUCUUAGGAUUGUAAAAUUCUUUCACCGGGGACGAUAAUGAAGGUACCCGGAGAAGAAGCUCCGGCUAACUUCGUGCCAGCAGCCGCGGUAAUACGAAGGGGGCUAGCGUUGCUCGGAAUUACUGGGCGUAAAGGGCGCGUAGGCGGACAGCUUAGUCAGUGGUGAAAUCAACGGGCUCAACCUGUUAACUGCCAUUGAUACUGUAGGACUUGAAUAUGAGAGAGGUAGGCGGAAUGUUGCAUGUAGCGGUGAAAUGCUUAGAUAUGCUACGGAACACCGAUUGCGAAGGCAGCUUACUAUUUCAUGAUUGACGCUGAGGCACGAAAGCGUGGGUAGCGAACAGGAUUAGAUACCCUAGUAGUCC
rnacentral:rRNA from 1 species